GUUGUAGACCCAAAACCCAAACGGAGGCAAUCAGAAUAAGAAUCUUGAAAACCCUAAACCCUGGAAGGAGGAGAAAGAAGAAGAAGAAGAAAUGGGAAAAAUCCCUCCUUCAUUCCGUUCCGCACUGACAAACCCAAACCUGAGAAGCCCCUCUUCUCUGUUCCCUCCUCAAACCUCAAAACCCCACAAAAUCCCUAAAAAACCCCAAAAAACACAGAAGAAGGAACAACAACAACAACAACCUCCCAAACUCUUCAAUUCCUCAAAUCUCGAAGAUGCCAAGACAAUCUUAAACUCCAUCGCCAACACCUCCGCCGCCACCGUCUCCGACCCUCGCUUCCCCAACUCCCUCCUCCAAUCCUACGCCGCAAUCGCCACCUCCACCCACGACUCCAUCGCUUUCCUCCGCCACAUCACCAAAACUAUCCCUUCCUUCACCCCCAACCGCUCCACCUACCACAUCCUCCUCUCCCACUCCUGCAAUUCCCCCAACCCCUCUCUGUCCCCAAUCCACCAAACCCUAAAUCUCAUGCUCGCAGAUAAACUUACCCCCGACAACGUCACCGCCGACAUUGCUGUCCGCGCCCUCUGCUCUGCCUCCCGCCUCGACCUUGCCGUCGAAUUGCUCAAAGAAUUCUCCUCAAAACACUGUACUCCUGACACCUACACCUUCAAUUUCCUCGUCAAGCAUCUCUGUAAGUCCCGCUCCUUGAGCACUGUCUAUGAUUUCAUCGACGAAAUGCGCCAGAAUUUCGGGGUUAAGCCUGAUCUUGUUACGUAUACGAUUCUCAUUGAUAAUGUGUGUAAUAGUAAGAAUUUACGUGAGGCUUUGAGGCUGGUGAGUGUGCUUCAUGAGGAAGGGUUUAAGCCUGAUUGCUUUGUUUACAACACCAUCAUGAAAGGGUAUUGUAUGCUUAGUAGAGGGAGUGAGGCGAUUGAGGUUUAUAAUAAGAUGAAAGAGGAAGGGGUGGAGCCUGAUCUUGUCACUUAUAAUACUUUGAUUUUCGGGUUGUCCAAGUCUGGAAGGGUUACCGAGGCUAAGAAGUUGUUGCGCGUGAUGGGUGAAAAAGGUUUUUUCCCUGAUGAGGUGACUUAUACCUCCUUGAUGAAUGGAAUGUGCAGGAAAGGGGAUGCGUUGGCAGCGUUGGCUUUGUUGGGUGAAAUGGAAGAGAAGGGGUGCAGUCCGAAUUCGUGCACGUAUAACACGCUGCUGCAUGGGUUGUGUAAGUCUAGGUUGUUGGAGAAGGCUGUUGAGUUCUAUGGGGUGAUGAAAUCUGGUGGUCUAAAGCUUGAGACGGCCUCUUAUGCUACGUUUGUGAGGGCUCUUUGCAGGGAUGGGAGAGUUGCGGAGGCUUAUGAAGUUUUUGAUUAUGCGAUUGAGAGCAAGAGUUUGACGGAUGCUGCUGCUUACUCGACAUUGGAAAGCACACUCAAAUGGCUCAAGAAAGCAAAAGAGCAAGGGCUUGCAAUUUAAUUGGUGCUUUCUGUCAAUGCUGCCAAGGACGGGAGAGUUAGUUGCGAAGGUUAAGGCCUAACUCUACUGUGUACCAAAGCUGCUAAUACAAUUUCUCUAGCAUGGGAUGACAUUUCUAAACGAACCGUUGGAAAGUGGAACUGGAAUCAGACAGCAAGCCAAAAGAAGUGGGGUAAAAUUUUUGGCUUCGUAUAUUCAAUGGUUGUCACGCAACAGCAUCCUUUGCAGCUGCUUGGUCAGACUUACUGAGAUUACUAUUUGACAGUAGCAACUUUAUUGAUUAUUUGAAGUUCCUCUCUGGCCGUCCUGGUGUGCAUUAUUUCUGGAGUUCUUUUGAUGGCCUUGAAGGAAAAAUGUGUAUUUUUCUUGGAAAUUAUUGUUACAUUAUUUUGAAUCAUAUGAUUUUCUCAAUAGAUUAAGAUAAUAUUUUGAAUAGAACUGAAAGGCACAUAUGAUUGUAUCACUGAUCAAAGGGGUUGGAGCGGUGGCAUCCAUUGUAUUUUUAUCAAUCCGGUUGCCGGUUGCAUGAUGUACUAUAUAUCUUUCUAUAAGGUUUUGUGGAAUUUCCAUGUUUCAUUGAAAAUUACUAGGAAAAUUUAAAUG